rnacentral:miRNA from 1 species
CUGGCUCUGGCUCUCUGCCUCCU